UACAGUUGAUCACGUCUAUCCACACUUUUAUCCUUAUCUCAGAUUUUGUGGGUUGCCCAAUAAAAUUUCGAGUGCAAUUGUUAUUUUCGAAGAGAAUAUUGCGCCACUCAUAUGGUUGUCGUAUGCGGCCCUUCAACACCCAGAUGUGAAACCUUAAUCUGAUGCCCGCUAACAGAAUUCAAACUUACAACGAAAGAUAAAACGGGGUGGUAAUUUUAAAAAGGUUUAUUGCACCGACUUUGUAUUGAUUGGAAUCUUUUGCGGACGAGUUGAUAAUAACGUGUCGGGCAACUUGUAAUCUUGCUUAACAUGCCUUGAUCAUUUGACGUUUAUCCGACCUGUUUAUUACCUCCUGCUUUGUCAAAAAACAAAUUUUCAUCUAUCGGGAGAAAAUGGUGCGGUUCGAUAGCUUCGUGAAAUCUGUUAAUCAUCAACUAGCGUUUAAAUUCACAACUAACAAUAUUAUACAACAUCAAGACAAAUAUUUUUUUUAGUAAUCACUUAAAAAUGUAAAUAAUAUGUUCUAUUAACUAUUAUCUAUUUCUAUUUGUAAUCCAUUUUGGGUGGAGUCAUUCAAAUGCUCACUCACUCGUUUAGCAGACGAUGUUGACAUGGCGAUCGUUAUCAAAGCACAACGUGUGUUCCGCUCCCGCCUCUCCCCUGUUUUGUAUUUUGCAUAUCAACCUUGGUAAAAAAACUUUUUGAUUCAUACCAGGACCAGUAGUAAAAUCUGCUCUAUCCCUACAUGUAAGAAAAUCAUGUAUAUGUGUCUUCAAUAAAGUUUGGUUUAAACUGUUGACAGAGCCACAGAGGCCCUUAUGAAUGGCCAUUGCCGUUAUGGCCAUGCCGUGUGAGCCAAAUAACAAACGAUGAAGCGAAGCUAUUCUUUUCUACCUAAUUUCUCAUUUGCCAAAUCUGCAUUCAACUGAACUACUAAACCAAUCUGGAGCUCUUCAUGCCAAAAUUUUUAGAAGUUGUUCGCUGGUAGUGAACGUUUAUGCUGGGUGCCAGUCUCUGCAGUUCUCGCCUCCCAAUAGGAAGUACAUCAACAAACCUUCAAUAACACAUAGAGGUAAUAAUCCAGCAAAUCAUUUCCAAUGGGCCAAAUCGUCUGAUGCUGUUACCUCACAUCUGACCAUUUUACCGAUAUUUCAUCUCUUGCUGUACGUCUCGUCCCAUGCUCAUUAAGCACUUCACGGCAAAGAUCACUUUUAUUCAUGUUGCGAAAUUGGGGCCGAUCGAUGACGGUAGGAGGAUAUUCCCAAACCGAAUUGGGAAACGUUCCGGUAGAAAUUUCGCUCUUAUACCAAACGGUGGUGCACACGUCAGGGCAGUAACACACAUUUGAAUCGAUCUCUUUUUUGGCCUCUGCAAAAUGUUUUUAAAAUCAAAACGAAACAUCAAAUUAGACCC